rnacentral:snoRNA from 1 species
GAUUCGCUACUACAACCACCGACUGCCUGAUGCACAUCCUCUGUCACCUGACCU